CUAUUUAGGGCCACACAUGCAGCAUAGGGAAGUUCCCAGGCUAGGGGUCAAAUUGGAGAUGCAGCUGCUCGCUUACGCCUCAGCCACAGAAACACCAGAUCAGAGCCAUGUCACCACUGAGCCACAAGAGCAACUCCUGAAAUCCUUUUUAAUCUAUAGUUUUUUUCCUUCCUUUCUUGUCUUUGCAGUGACAAGCAAUGCUUUUACUAGUCAGUGGUUGAAUAAAUACAUCAAUACUUUAACUGUUCAAUAAUAUAUUGAAUCCAUUUUUAUUCACUAAAAUAAUCGGAUUUUUAGAAUAAUCUAUAUAUCCUAUCUACUGACAAUGUUUAGGAUGUAUAUUUUUCAAAGUUUCAUUACAAUAUUAUAAUAACUGAGAGGGUCAUGGACUGUCAACUACUAUACUUUUUUUUUUUUUUUUUUUUGCUAUUUCUUGGGCCGCUCCCACGGCAUAUGGAGGUUCCCAGGCUAAGGGUCGAAUCAGAGCUGUAGCCACCAGCCUACGCCAGAGCCACAGCAACACCAGAUCCGAGCCGCGUCUGCAACCUACACCACAGCUCACGGCAAUGCCGGAUCGUUUAACCCACUGAGCAAGGCCAGGGACCGAACCCGCAACCUCAUGGUUCCUAGUCGGAUUCGCUUCCGAGCCAUGACUUCCCACUGUGACAGGUUCCAGGCCGGGAGCCAUCGAAUACCCUCUGAAUUGCACAGCAGCGCCUGGCUUCAUCCCCGGACCUUAUCAUGGGACUGCGUCCUCCCCUUGUUUAUGAAAGAAAGUAUUGUGUUGGGUAAGGUUGACACCGAUUGACAUGUUACUUCAUUUAAGAAGGAUAAUAAGCAAUUUAUUCGGAUCAACAUCCUCUGUACAGCAAGUAACGCAUUUCAAAGUUAGUCACAAGACAACAUUCCAACUCACUGUGGUCACUAUGGAUGACCAUAUAGAACAUGCCACAAAGCUUAAUCCUUCACAUUCCAGAACAUCCAGUAACUCUAAAAGGACUUACACACACAAGUCAAAAAGCCCCACCCCACCAAUAGGCUUUUUUCUUCACAGUGGGUAAGGCAGUCUAAAACUACAAAUAUGGGAGGUCCAAAAGUCUGGACUUGGAGAACAGACUUGUGGUUGCCAAGGGGGAGGGGGAGGGAGUGGGAUGGACUGGGAGUCCAGGGUUAAUAGAUGCAAACUAUUGCAUUUGGAAUGGAUAAGCAAUGAGAGCCUGUUGUAUAGCAUUGGGAACUCUAUCUGGUCACUUAUGAUGGAGCAUGAUGGACGAUAAUAUAAGAAAAAGAAUGUAAGUGUGACUGGGUCACUUUGCUGUACAGGAGAAAAUUGACAGAACACUGUAAACCAGUUAUAAUGGAAAAAUGAAAAAUCGUUUAGGAAAAAAACCCACAAAAAUAAGCACAAGGGUGAAAAAAAAAGAAAUCUAAAAUUAAGUGCCCAAUAAUAAUAAAAAUAAAGACCACUAAUUACUAAGGGCCUACGUGUGAAAAAACUAGGUAAGGGUGCUUUACACAUGUUACUUCAUUUUAAUCCAAACAAACCCAUAAUGUCUGUAAAUGAACAAGUUAGCAGCUGUAGAAACUGACAAGAUUAGUAAAUAAACUGAGAACACUGCGCAUCUGGUUUCCUUCUAUAUUUUCAAAGAAUAAGCUGUUACAUAGAGUUGUAGGAGAUCAAGGUCUCAAAUUAAAAUGCAAUUAUGAUUUCAAUGUUUUUAUAUUAAUUCUGAACCUCAAACAAAAGCAAGGGACAUCUCAAAAAAGGAUAAUUAAUUCACUAUCUUAAAUAUUUCAUGAAGAAAGAAUACAUUCGUCUUAUCAAAAGUAAUAGUAGGAAAAGCAGAAAUCACAUUAUGGCUAACAAAUCAGAGAUGCUUAUUCAAUUCAAUCCUCUUCAGUUAAUAUCUCACUAUU
rnacentral:lncRNA from 1 species